AGUGAACGCUGGCGGUAGGCCUAACACAUGCAAGUCGAACGGCAGCACAGUAAGAGCUUGCUCUUACGGGUGGCGAGUGGCGGACGGGUGAGGAAUACAUCGGAAUCUACUUUUUCGUGGGGGAUAACGUAGGGAAACUUACGCUAAUACCGCAUACGACCUAAGGGUGAAAGCAGGGGAUCUUCGGACCUUGCGCGAUUGAAUGAGCCGAUGUCGGAUUAGCUAGUUGGAGGGGUAAAGGCCCACCAAGGCGACGAUCCGUAGCUGGUCUGAGAGGAUGAUCAGCCACACUGGAACUGAGACACGGUCCAGACUCCUACGGGAGGCAGCAGUGGGGAAUAUUGGACAAUGGGCGCAAGCCUGAUCCAGCCAUACCGCGUGGGUGAAGAAGGCCUUCGGGUUGUAAAGCCCUUUUGUUGGGAAAGAAAAGCAGCAGGUUAAUACCCCGCUGUUCUGACGGUACCCAAAGAGUAAGCACCGGCUAACUUCGUG
rnacentral:rRNA from 1 species